GGAGAUUAGCUGCAGUAAUCUCAGUAUUUCCAAUGCCUGUGGGUUUUAAACAAUAAUUUUUGAAAAAGAAACUCAUCAAGCAGUCAUCCUCUCCCAAGCUGUCCUGCAAAGCUGAGGACACAUGACCAAGGCUUUCAUAUUGUAGGAAGACUCUACUAUUCCGGAAUAUACAGGUAGGAUGCAGAGGUGGCUCACUGACUCUGGAGGAGAUGUCUCAUUUGAUGAAAUCUGGGGAUUCUAGUCUGUCCUGGACACAUCAGAGUUGAAGACAGUACCAAGUGUUCUGGUGCCUCAGCAGUGAAAGCUAUAUGUCACAUCUCCCUUACUCCCUCAGUACUCCAACGAAGUGGCGUAACUAAAGCAAAUUCAGGGCAAUUGACAUCUGCCUGUAUCUAGUUUUGAUGUAAGCUACUCUUAUUGCAGGCUUGAAGAGGAGCCUGUGGGCACAAAAACUCAUGUGUUUUUUCUCAGUUUAUCACUUCAACUAAAAAAACAUGUUACCUCACCUGACAAACCUAAUUUACACUCUUAUUUCAUUCCAGCGAAAACAACCAUAUUUACUAAGCUAUCAUAAAUGACAGAGCACUGCAUGGUUUUGCAUUGCUUUUGACAUUAAAAAAAAAUCAAACACACCAUUACCAGGCAUUUGCUUUUGAUGAUGCUCCUCUACGGUUCUGCCAAUCGGUAUUUGUCCCAUCACAGUGAAAAUGGGUGACCCUUGCUUAAAGUCACUAAAUGCAAAGCAAUGUCAUAAAAGUUGUAUCACAGCACUGCUAAUGAAAACAUUCAGCCUUUGGUGGUGGCAAACUCCAUUUGCCCUGGGCCAUAUACAGGCAACCAGUGUCACCAUAUUUCAUCACUCAAGACAGAAAUAUAUGUAUAAAAUGCUAGAAGAAGCUGCAUUUCAAAAGAAAAGGAAUAAGAUGAAGAGAAGCAAAAAUAAAACCUA